AGUGAGAAGCCGGAGGUGAGAAGACCCCUGAGCGGAUGGAUUCAUUCAUUUUCUGAAUUUCCUAUGUGAGGACAGUAUUAGAGCCCAGUGAGGCUUUGAGAGGCCCCAAAGAUGAGCGCCAACAGCAGCAGAGUGGGCCAGCUUCUCUUGCAGGGUUCAGCGUGCAUUAGCUGGAAGCAGGAUGUGGAAGGGGCUGUCUACCACCUAGCCAACUGCCUCUUACUCCUGGGCUUCAUGGGGGGCAGUGGGGUGUAUGGAUGCUUCUAUCUUUUUGGCUUCCUGAGUGCAGGUUACCUGUGCUGCGUGCUGUGGGGCUGGUUCAGUGCCUGUGGCCUGGACAUUGUUCUUUGGAGCUUCCUGCUGGCUGUGGUCUGCCUGCUCCAGCUGGCACACCUGGUAUACCGCCUGCGUGAGGACACCCUCCCUGAGGAGUUUGACCUCCUCUACAAGACGCUGUGCCUGCCCUUGCAGGUGCCCCUACAGACAUACAAGGAGAUUGUUCACUGCUGCGAGGAGCAGGUCUUAACUCUGGCCACUGAACAGACCUAUGCUGUGGAGGGUGAGACACCCAUCAACCGCCUGUCCCUGCUGCUCUCUGGCCGGGUUCGUGUGAGCCAGGAUGGGCAGUUUCUGCACUACAUCUUUCCAUACCAGUUCAUGGACUCUCCUGAGUGGGAAUCACUACAGCCUUCUGAGGAGGGGGUGUUCCAGGUGACUCUGACUGCUGAGACCUCAUGUAGCUACAUUUCCUGGCCCCGGAAAAGUCUCCAUCUUCUUCUGACCAAAGAGCGAUACAUCUCCUGCCUCUUCUCUGCUCUGCUGGGAUAUGACAUCUCGGAGAAGCUCUACACUCUCAACGACAAGCUCUUUGCUAAGUUUGGGCUGCGCUUUGACAUCCGCCUUCCCAGUCUCUACCAUGUCCUGGGUCCCACUGCUGCAGAUGCUGGACCAGAGUCUGAGAAGGGUGAUGAGGAAGUCUGUGAGCCAGCUGUGUCCCCUCCUCAGGCCACACCCACCUCUCUCCAGCAAACACCCCCUUGUUCUACCCCUCCAGCUACCACCAACUUUCCUGCACCUCCUACCCGGGCCAGGUUGUCCAGGCCAGACAGUGGCAUACUGGGUGAGGACUCCACCAGUCUGGUGCUGGAGGAUUUUGAGGAGGUGUCAGGAUCAGAAUCGUUUAUGGAUUAUAGGAGUGAUGGGGAGUACAUGAGGUGAAGGGAGAACUAACAUGGGCACAGCCACCGGCUCAGGAUCCUAUAGAUAGAUGAUUUUCCCUCUUAUUUCCGCCAGUUUGGCUUUUCAGGGAAGGUGGCAGCUGGCAGAAUCCCCUGACAACAAAAGCUUCUAGAAUUCCUCUCCAGAGCUACUCUCAAGUUAUAUCCAGGGGACAGGCCCCUUUGGCUCCAACCCACACACCUGAACUUUAAGGAUCAUUGGACUAUCUUCUCUGUGGCCAGCGCAGCUCUCUUCUGUGUUCACAGAAUGGCCACUGAUAGGCACGCCUCUUUUCCCACCCACUGGAAGGCUCACGGGCAAGGUGAGAUAGGACACAGAAGGUGCCAACACUGUCGCUACAGUAAGGACCUGAAGUGACUUUGAGAAAUUCACCCUCACAAGCCUUCCUUCAGGAGCAGGCAUUGGUAGUGCAGAGGCACCGAUUCCGUCCUUUACCAGCUGCAGAAUCUUGGGCAAGUUACAUAGCCUCUGUGAGCCUCAUCGGUAAACAGUGGGGGUUAUGAAACCCACCUCACAGGGUUGUUGUGAGGAUCCAAUGAGUUGAAUUAGGUAAGCACCUAGCACAUGCCGUGGCACCAAGUAAGCACUCAAUAAAUCACUCAACUCCUUUC